GAUUGCCUAAUGGUAUCUGAUGUCCAAACUUAUAAAUGUAGUUGGACAUUUCGUUUUUCAUAGGCAGAAAGUUAAUGAACAGGCCUUUGCGACACUGCUAGCUUAUCACAUAAGCUACUUGUUACUUUUUAACCUGUUUAUAUU
rnacentral:snoRNA from 1 species